GCUCCGGUAGCAAAGUCUGGUCAAAUGCGGUAGAUUUAAAUACUCUACUCCUUUGGGUUCGGGGGUUCAAAUCCCCCCUGGGGCA
rnacentral:tRNA from 1 species